rnacentral:rRNA from 1 species
CCUACGGGUGGCUGCAGUGAGGAAUAUUGGUCAAUGGCCGGAAGGCUGAACCAGCCAUGCCGCGUGAAGGUCAGUGCCCUAUGGGCGUUAAACUUCUUUUGUGCGGGAGCAAUAAUGGUCACGUGUGGCCAGACGAGAGUACCGUACGAAUAAGCAUCGGCUAACUCCGUGCCAGCAGCCGCGGUAAUAAGGGGGAGGCAAGCGUUAUCCGGAUUUAUUGGGUUUAAAGGGUGCGUAGGCGGCCUUUUAAGUCAGCGGUGAAAGUCGGGGGCUCAACCAUCGACUUGCCGUUGAAACUGGGGGGCGUGAGUAUGUGUGAGGCAGGCGGAAUGCGGGGUGUAGCGGUGAAAUGCUUAGAUAUCACGCAGAACCCCGAUUGCGAAGGCAGCCUGCCAAGCCAUGACUGACGCUGAUGCACGAAAGCGUGGGGAUCAAACAGGAUUAGAUACCCUUGUAGUC